UACGGAGGAUGCAAGCGUUAUCCGGAUUGAUUGGGCGUAAAGCGUCUGUAGGUGGUUACGCUAGUCGGCUGUUAAAGAUCAGGGCUGAACCCUGAGCAAGCAGUCGAAACUGCGUGGCUGGAGUAUGGUAGGGGCAGAGGGAAUUCCUGGUGUAGCGGUGAAAUGCGUAGAGAUCAGGAAGAACAUCGGUGGCGAAGGCGCUCUGCUGGACCAUAACUGACACUCAGGGACGAAAGCUAGGGGAGCGAAUGGG
rnacentral:rRNA from 1 species